rnacentral:rRNA from 1 species
GAAUGAACCGGCGAGUUACGAUUUGAUGCAAGGUUAAGCAGUAAAUGUGGAGCCGUAGCGAAAGCGAGUCUGAAUAGGGCGUUUAGUAUUUGGUCGUAGACCCGAAACCAGGUGAUCUACCCUUGGUCAGGUUGAAGUUCAGGUAACACUGAAUGGAGGACCGAACCGACUUACGUUGAAAAGUGAGCGGAUGAACUGAGGGUAGCGGAGAAAUUCCAAUCGAACCUGGAGAUAGCUGGUUCUCUCCGAAAUAGCUUUAGGGCUAGCCUCAAGUGAUGAUUAUUGGAGGUAGAGCACUGUUUGGACGAGGGGCCCCUCUCGGGUUACCGAAUUCAGACAAACUCCGAAUGCCAAUUAAUUUAACUUGGGAGUCAGAACAUGGGUGAUAAGGUCCGUGUUCGAAAGGGAAACAGCCCAGACCACCAGCUAAGGUCCCAAAAUAUAUGUUAAGUGGAAAAGGAUGUGGCGUUGCCCAGACAACUAGGAUGUUGGCUUAGAAGCAGCCAUCAUUUAAAGAGUGCGUAAUAGCUCACUAGUCGAGUGACACUGCGCCGAAAAUGUACCGGGGCUAAACAUAUUACCGAAGCUGUGGAUUGUCCUUUGGACAAUGGUAGGAGAGCGUUCUAAGGGCGUUGAAGCAUGAUCGUAAGGACAUGUGGAGCGCUUAGAAGUGAGAAUGCCGGUGUGAGUAGCGAAAGACGGGUGAGAAUCCCGUCCACCGAUUGACUAAGGUUUCCAGAGGAAGGCUCGUCCGCUCUGGGUUAGUCGGGUCCUAAGCUGAGGCCGACAGGCGUAGGCGAUGGAUAACAGGUUGAUAUUCCUGUACCACCUAUAAUCGUUUUAAUCGAUGGGGGGACGCAGUAGGAUAGGCGAAGCGUGCGAUUGGAUUGCACGUCUAAGCAGUAAGGCUGAGUAUUAGGCAAAUCCGGUACUCGUUAAGGCUGA